UCAUGUGAUGACUGGAGUUGACCAACAAUUAAAGCAGAAGAAGACCUGCUCCACCUGCUGAUCUACUGGUUGUAACAGCUUGUGGGAAAGCAUCACUGGACCAAUCAGGCAAGAGAAGACAGAGAGGACUGAGGACUAAAACGAAAAUACUCUGCCUGCCAAAAAAGGCAGACGAUCCAGUGGCCCCAGGUUUACACACCAUCUGCUGGUUUGAGGCAGACUGACCGCUGGGGAGAUGGACCUCACCUGGCACCAUUACUCUGGAUGUAACAGGUAGGUGAGCAGAAACUGAAGCUGCUGAGACAUCUCAGAAAAGUUUCAGCAUUUAAUGACGUGCGUUGGACUCUGCGUUUCUCAAAUUUGUUCUUCUGUUUCCUCAGCUCGACUCUCCUGUCAAUCAAAACAUCAAUGACUCGAGAAGCGGACAGCGAGGUUUCUGGUGCCUGGCUGGAGACGAGAUUCUGAUUAUUCAAGAGCCAAAACAAAACGUCAGAAUAAAUAGUUAGAAGGCAGAUUUGUUUUCUAUUUGUUGUUGUUUUCAUUAUUAAUGCUCCAUAACACAAAAUUCAUCAGUGCUGUAACUCUUGAGUUGAAUAAAAUGUUCUUCUUUCAAUCUGUUAUUUCUGGAGUCUUUUUAUUUUUAACCAUAAUCAUUUCUGGAAACAUUAUAUAUUAAAGGAACGCCCACAUUUUUAAUAGAACUUCAUAACUGAUCAAAGCACAAACUGGAGAACAGGUUUAAAAGAAAUGUUGUUUUAGUGUUAAUUCAUUUGUAGUUACAUAAAUACACAAUUCACAUCUUAAAAACAAACACAAGCCAGUCACACUGAAGACGUUUCCUGAUGUUGACCUUCGACCCUUAGCUUCAACUGAUUCACUGAAGGGUUGGGUAGAAAUGUUACCCAGAGAACGCUCUUUUUCCUCAUGGACUCAUAACCAGUGAAACAAACUGGAAGAACUGGAAGCUGAACCAGUUGGUGGAUCAAGUCGGUCAACUCCAAGUAGCCAACACCGAUGGCCUUUGAAGCUUCACAGCUCUGACUCUGACUUAUGAAAACCUUUCCUCCAGUUUGAGUCGAGACUGUGGAAGGUUUUUUUUUUACGGCCUGCUGCUUCUUCAGUUGCUGUGAACCAGAGUGACAAACAGGAGGAGUGAGCAGAGAGAGACGGCGCCAGUCAGGACGGCUUUCACCAGCAACACCGUCCAGCUGCCCGGCAUGAAGACAUGAGACGGACAUUACCGGCAAAAUAAUCUAUUACAAUAAGAGUUUGGCUGAAAUAUUUUUGCAACGACUGAGAAAUAUGAAAAAAACCAGAAAAAAACAAAACAUAAAAUGAUUAAGUCUGGUUCUUUGUUGACCGCUACACAGUGGUCAACAAAGAACCAAGACAGAAGCUACAAACCUUUAAGUCACCAUGCCGAGUUAUGAAACAAAAAGAAAAGCCAUAAAGCCAUGCAGUACAUGAAUCUUUUUGAUUUUAGUCUUUUUUUCAGUUUUCCUAAACGAUAAACCUAACAGUUAACAUUUGAUGAUGAUGAUGUAUUUGUUUCCCAACCAUCUGAAAUGCUGACAUUUUCAUACGUCCACUUCACAUUUAAAUGCUGCUUUGCAUUUAUCUGUUACAUAA